CGGCAGUGUGCUACUGUCUGGACC
rnacentral:siRNA from 1 species